AGGAUAAACGCUGGCGGCGUGCCUAAUGCAUGCAAGUCGAACGGGAGCCCCUUUGGGGGUCGACCGUGGCGGACGGGUGAGGAACACGUAGCUAACCUGCCCAGAGAUGGGGGAUAUGCGCUGGAAACGGCGUGCAAUACCGCAUACGCUCGGGUGUCGGGAGACAUUUGAGGAAAGCCGUAAGGCGUCUUUGGAGGGGGCUGCGGCCGAUUAGCUAGUUGGUGGGGUAAGAGCUCACCAAGGCGAUGAUCGGUAGCUGGUCUGAGAGGACGAUCAGCCACACGGGGACUGAGACACGGCCCCGACUCCUACGGGAGGCAGCAGCAAGGAAUUUUCCACAAUGGGCGCAAGCCUGAUGGAGCAACGCCGCGUGGGGGAUGACGCGUUUCGGCGUGUAAACCCCUUUUCGAGGGACGAAGACAAUGACGGUACCCUCGGAAGAAGGACCGGCUAACUACGUGCCAGCAGCCGC
rnacentral:rRNA from 1 species